rnacentral:rRNA from 1 species
UAAAUUGCCGUGGUAUUUUGACCAUGCUAAGGUAGCAUAAUCAUUUGGCCUUUAAUUGAGGUCUGGCAUGAAGGGUUGAACGAAAACUCUACUUUAUUAAGUUAAGACUAAAAUUUAUUUUUUAGGUGAAGAAACCUAAAUAUAAAAAAAGGACAAGAAGACCCUAUCGAGCUUUAUUGAAAGAAGUGCUAUUUACUUUGUGAAAUUUGGUUGGGGCAACCGAGGAAUUAACUUCUUUGAGAUAAAGAAUUUUUUAUAUAAGAGAAGUUACCGUAGGGAUAACAGCAUAAUUUUUUUUUAGAGUUCAUAUUAAAAAAAAAGUUUGUGACCUCGAUGUUGGAUUAAGAUAACCUAAAGGAGUAGAAAAUUUUGAAGGUUGGUCUGUUCGACCAUAAAAAUCUUAC